CUCCUUUGAUUCUGGGAUGGAGGCAGGAAUUUGGUUAACACAAACAUAUACUUGUUUGGUAGACAUCAAUAGGACAUACAUGAUUGUUUAGGAAAAAUACUUACCUUUCCUUUUCUUCCUUUUCUGUAGCUUCCAUUUCCCACCAGCUCUUGCACUUGCCUGCUAUUUCCUGAACGCCAGUGUGACUAAUGAGUGCCAGAGGCAGCAGAUGGGAAGGCCCCAACAGGAACUCGCAAUCAGGUGGAAUUGUGUGCUGGCAGAAGAAGCAGCGGCUAGAGAUGAAAGUCACUAUGCAACAAGAUAAAUGCCUCAAUGCUGUCCAAUUUGGACGAGAAAUCUCUGCAGAUUCUGGGCAGGCUAGCCUGAACAGCAGAAACACAUCAACUAUGUUAUCCUGCCUUGCCCUUCCUGACCCCUUCCAGAGGAGUAGGACAACAGAGGUGAUAGAAGACUCCAACUUCUCUCCUACAAGCCAGGUAUCCUUCCAAACACAUCCUGAAGCUCAUUGCCCUUUGGUUUGUUGUGUGUUAGGCUCUGCCAGUCACU
rnacentral:lncRNA from 1 species